CUUCGGCUCCCGCUAUCGGAUGAGCCUAUGUCGGAUUAGCUGGUUGGUGAGGUAAAGGCUCACCAAGGCGACGAUCCGUAGCUGGUCUGAGAGGAUGAUCAGCCACAUCGGGACUGAGACACGGCCCGAACUCCUACGGGAGGCAGCAGUGGGGAAUAUUGGACAAUGGGGGGAACCCUGAUCCAGCCAUGCCGCGUGUGUGAAGAAGGCCCUCGGGUUGUAAAGCACUUUCAGUGAGGAAGAACGCCUGGUGGUUAAUACCCAUCAGGAAAGACAUCACUCACAGAAGAAGCACCGGCUAACUCCGUGCCAGCAGCCGCGGUAAUACGGAGGGUGCGAGCGUUAAUCGGAAUUACUGGGCGUAAAGCGCGCGUAGGUGGCUUGAUAAGCCGGUUGUGAAAGCCCCGGGCUUAACCUGGGAACGGCAUCCGGAACUGUCAAGCUAGAGUGCAGGAGAGGAAGGUAGAAUUCCCGGUGUAGCGGUGAAAUGCGUAGAGAUCGGGAGNNGAANUACCANGUNGGCGAAGGCGGCCUUCUGGACUGACACUGACACUGAGGUGCGAAAGCGUGGGUAGCAAACAGGAUUAGAUACCCUGGUAGUCCACGCCGUAAACGAUGUCGACNCAGCCGUUGGGUGCCUAGCGCACUUUGUGGCGAAGUUAACGCGAUAAGUCGACCGCCUGGGGAGUACGGCCGCAAGGUUAAAACUCAAAUGAAUUGACGGGGGCCCGCACAAGCGGUGGAGCAUGUGGUUUAAUUCGAUGCAACGCGAAGAACCUUACCUACUCUUGACAUCCUGCGAACUUGUGAGAGAUCACUUGGUGCCUUCGGGAACGCAGAGACAGGUGCUGCAUGGCUGUCGUCAGCUCGUGUUGUGAAAUGUUGGGUUAAGUCCCGUAACGAGCGCAACCCUUGUCCUUAUUUGCCAGCGCGUAAUGGCGGGAACUCUAAGGAGACUGCCGGUGACAAACCGGAGGAAGGUGGGGACGACGUCAAGUCAUCAUGGCCCUUACGAGUAGGGCUACACACGUGCUACAAUGGUCGGUACAAAGGGUUGCCAACUCGCGAGAGUGAGCCAAUCCCGAAAAGCCGAUCUCAGUCCGGAUCGGAGUCUGCAACUCGACUCCGUGAAGUCGGAAUCGCUAGUAAUCGUGGAUCAGAAUGCCACGGUGA
rnacentral:rRNA from 1 species